rnacentral:rRNA from 1 species
UACGAAGGGGGCGAGCGUUGUUCGGAAUCACUGGGCGUAAAGGGCGCGUAGGCGGCCCUCCUUGUCGCGUGUGAAAGCCCCGGGCUCAACCUGGGAACGGCGCGCGAGACGGGGGGGCUGGAGUUCGGGAGAGGAGCGUGGAAUUCCCAGUGUAGAGGUGAAAUGCGUAGAUAUCUGGAGGAACACCGGUGGCGAAGGCAGCUCGCUGGGACGGUACUGACGCUGAGACGCGAAAGCGUGGGGAGCAAACAGG